AACGAACGCUGGCGGCAUGCCUUACACAUGCAAGUCGAACGGCAGCGGGGACUUCGGUCCGCCGGCGAGUGGCGAACGGGUGAGUAAAGUAUCGGAACGUACCUUUCAGUGGGGGAUAACGAAGGGAAAUUUACGCUAAUACCGCAUAUUCUGUGAGCAGGAAAGAAGGGGAUGGAAAGACCUGGCGUGGUUUGAGCGGCGGAUAUCAGAUUAGCAAGUUGGGGAGGUAAGAGCUCACCAAGGCGACGAUCUGUAGCGGGCCUGAGAGGAUGAUCCGCCACACUGGGACUGAGACACGGCCCAGACUCCUACGGGAGGCAGCAGUGGGGAAUUUUGGACAAUGGGGGCAACCCUGAUCCAGCCAUGCCGCGUGAGUGAAGAAGGCCUUCGGGUUGUAAAGCUCUUUCGGCCGGGAAGAAAUCGCACCAGCUAAUACCUGGUGUGGAUGACGGUACCGGAAUAAGAAGCACCGGCUAACUACGUGCCAGCAGCCGCAGUAA
rnacentral:rRNA from 1 species